UCACUGCUUGCGCAGGCAGUCUCGCUAGAGUCCCCGGCAUUACCCGCUGGUAACUAGCGAUAGGGGUUGCGUUCGUUGCGGGACUUAACCCAACAUCUCACGACACGAACUGACGACAGCCAUGCAGCACCUCACUAGGUGCCCGAAGGAGGGCCCCUUUCAGGGCCUGUCACCUAGCGUUCGAGCCUGGGUAAGGUUCUUCGCGUUGCAUCGAAUUAAUCCACAUGCUCCACCGCUUGUGCGGGCCCCCGUCAAUUCCUUUGAGUUUCACCCUUGCGAGCGUACUCCCCAGGUGGAGUGCUUAACGCGUUAGCUUAGACACUGCCCCUAAAGCGGGCCAGCAUCGAGCACUCAUCGUUUACGGCGUGGACUAC
rnacentral:misc_RNA from 1 species